rnacentral:rRNA from 1 species
GACAGAGGCCUCGAGCGUUAGGCGGAAUCACUGGGCUUAAAGCGUGUGUAGGCGGGCCCGUAAGUGUCUUGUGAAAUCCCACGGCUCAACCGUGGAACUGCUGGGCAUACUGCGGGUCUUGGGCCAACUAGGGGCAGCCGGAACAAGCGGUGGAGCGGUGAAAUGCGUAGAUAUCGCUUGGAACGCCGAAGGUGAAAACAGGCUGCUGGGGUUGCGCCGACGCUGAGGCGCGAAAGCCAGGGGAGCAAACGGG